GUACCCAUCCCACCAACAUAAAUAAAUAAAGAAAGAAAGAAAGAAAGAGACCCAGCAUGAAGACACUGACAUCAACCUCUACACACAUGAGCACAUACAUAUGAACAUGCUCACAUGCACAGGCACACACAAAGGCAACCACAACCACCACCACCACAACAAAAGAAGUGAGCAUCUUUGUCCUUUUCUUAUAAGGGGAAAACUGAGGCAUGGGAAGCUGUUGCUACCAGAACUGAACCUGAAUCCCAGGUCUGCCCAGCCUCAGAGGCCUUCCUUCUGCUGGGGAAUUUGCAGGCAUAGGGUCUCUGUGGGUGACAUCAGCCUGCUUGCAGCCUGCGACCCCAACAGCAGUGGAAGCCUGCAUAGCAGAGAAGAGUGUGGCUUCCCUGUGGCUCCUGGGCUGGGAGGAUUGUCCUGGUCAAAGGGGCACUGGCAGCUGCUGUCAUCAGAAGUUAACAGCUAACAUCCACCGAGCCUUCCCUGCCUCACAUCUUCCAGAGGUGUGGGAAGCACAAAUCAUCCAAACACCUGGAUCCAGCUGUGCCUAAAGCAAACCGUCUCUAGAAUGUCUUUAACGUGACUCACUGGAUUCCUCGUAGCUUGAAUUGAUCUGAGUUGGGGUUUGGUCCCUCUCAAGUUGAAUCAGGGAGCCCUGACUAACCCACCUACCUCGUGGACUUUAUCUGGGCUUCUAUCUCCUCAUCCUUCAGAGUCUAGAGACACACCCACUAACUGUCCCAUCCCUGUGCUGACUCAUGGGUCCCCUAGAGUUUCAGUCCUUCCUUCCCACAUGAGUCUGCCCCUUUCCCACACACCCUGCUCAGGACAGAGGGCGUGUGGGUGUGCGUGCCAGUGUGUGAGCACGCCCUUGUUCCGGGAAGGUGCCCGUGGGCUUUGCUUGGCCCCAGAUCAGACCUCGUUAUUAAAGUGAUGACAGCUACCAUAGACUGUGUCUGCCCCCAAAGCAGGUGGCCACGCUGCCUGAGCAGCCCUGCCAGGCAGGUUUGUGGUCCCCGAGUCCUGGGAGGCCAACCAAGCCGAGCAGCGAGAAGCAGAAACUGCAUCGCAAAUCCAGUGGCUGGAUCUCCACUCAAAAGUCAGGAGCAUAUCGACGUGGUUUCUGAUGGAGACGAUAGAUCACUAGCCCUAGACGCCCCUGGCCUUGCCUGCUCCUUGGACACUGGCCCCGCACAGUGCCUGCCUGGACCCUAGAGAAGGAUCUGGUCCCUUCAUCACUAUCUUCCCUGGUUCUCUUUUUCCUUCAGAUUCAGGAGCAAGGAGUGGUGGGUGGGCAGGGUUUGCAGCUCUGUUCCCCAAGACCUGCCACCUACUGCCUGCCUUGGUCACAUGUCUUCUCUUCCUCCCCUUGAUCCCAUGGUGAGGUGGGAGCAGGAAGGAGACCUCCUGCCGCCAGGUACACAGGAUUCCAGAACUUUCUUAGAUGGGCAUGGUGUGAAGCUGGACUGUGAGCCCCUGCUCUGUUUCCUUCCUGUUCUUCGGGCUGGAAAUUACUAACUGAGCCCUUCCAACUUG